rnacentral:rRNA from 1 species
AGUGAACGCUGGCGGUAGGCCUAACACAUGCAAGUCGAACGGCAGCACAGUAAGAGCUUGCUCUUACGGGUGGCGAGUGACGGACGGGUGAGGAAUACAUCGGAAUCUACUUUUUCGUGGGGGAUAACGUAGGGAAACUUACGCUAAUACCGCAUACGACCUACGGGUGAAAGCAGGGGAUCUUCGGACCUUGCCCGAUUGAUUGAGCCGAUGUCGGAUUAGCUAGUUGGCGGGGUAAAGGCCCACCAAGGCGACGAUCCGUAGCUGGUCUGAGAGGAUGAUCAGCCACACUGGAACUGAGACACGGUCCAGACUCCUACGGGAGGCAGCAGUGGGGAAUAUUGGACAAUGGGCGCAAGCCUGAUCCAGCCAUACCGCGUGGGUGAAGAAGGCCUUCGGGUUGUAAAGCCCUUUUGUUGGGAAAGAAAAGCAGCAGGUUAAUACCCCGCUGUUCUGACGGUACCCAAAGAAUAAGCACCGGCUAACUUCGUG